AAGAAUGAAACCCAGGAUCCUGAAAAUUAGUGGCUGACUGCUCUGAGUAAUGAUGGUGAAGGAAGAUAACAUUUCAGGAGGCAAAAGGCAACUUGUAACAGAAAGUGAUUUUGCAUGAAAGAUGAUCAUGGCAGCACUAUGCACACUCACCAUGAAGUAGAAACAACUCAAGUGUCCAUCAGCUGGUGAACUGAUAACAAAAAUAUAUAUGCACACCAUGGAACAGUGUUCGGCUACAAAAGAUUGAAAUUUUGUCAUUUGUGACAACCUGGAUGAAACUGGAGACUGUUAUGUUAAGUGACAAUCCAAACAUGGAGAGAUAAGUACCACAUGAACUGACUCAUACAUAGGUUACAAAAAAGCUGGUAUCAUAGAGUUAAGAGUAGAGCAGAGGUCACCAGAGGGUGAGGGGAAGGGGAAGAGGUAGGGAUGUGAGCGUGUGAUACAUGCAUGUUGUUACAAUUUUAUGAGCAACAGAUUCUGCUGUGCUAUUGAAUAGUACGAUGACUAUAGAUGAUAAUGUACUACAAUUUUAAAAAUCUAGAAGAAGGGAGUUUGAAUAUUUCCCCAUAAGGAAAUGAUGAGUAUUUGAGGAAAUAGAUAUGCUUAUCUUGAUUUAAGCAUUAGACAGUGUACACAGGUAUCAAAAUAUCAUAUGGAGCCCCAUAAAUAUGUACAAUUUUUAUGUUUCUACAUAUUAAAAAUAACUUUAAAUUAAAAAUCUGUCUCAUAAGUAGGUCUUUGGCAUGUCUGCGAGUUGCUCAUAGGAUAAAUAUUCUGAAAUUGAAUUGCCACAUCAAAAUGCAUUUGAUUUGAUAACUUUUGCUAAAUUGCCUUCUGUGGAACUUGUACCAGUUUUCACUUUCACCAGCAAUGCCCAAGAAUACCUUUUACUCAUAUCUUUGCCAGUGUAGAGUGUUUUUAAUGUCUGGGUUUUGCUAGUCAAAUUUUAUAUAUAUAUAAAUAUAUAUAUAUGCACACACACAUACACACACACAUAUAUAAGUUACUUUUAUCUACUAUCUACAAAGGGUGAAAUUGAGCAAGUUGUUGUGUGGUUUGUACUCCUUUGAGCUUUCUGUUAUUAGAGUUUGUUUUCUUACAGAAAGUCGUUCUUUUUCAUUGAUUUAUAUGGUGUUUAUAGUUUAGGAAAAUUAAUUUUUAUCUGACAGAGAAUUGCAAAUAUUCUUGCAGUCUGGCAAAGGUGUUCUAAUUUUGCUCUUGUUGCUAUUUAGCAAUUGUCUUUUGGCUUUACUUUUAGAGAUAAUUGCAAGAAGAAAAAAAUUAUUUCUCCAAUUUGUCAAUUGGAAAAGUUACAUGUUCUAACUUUUACAUGUUUGUAGAGCUACUUUUAUUUUUUUUUUUAGGGAUAUGCACAGGAAUGCAAGAACUACUAGGACAGGCUGUGUAUAUCGAUGAGGACUCAGUGAAGAAAUGAAAUGGUGUUUUAAGGAAAAUGGGAGUUCAUACAGGAGAGCAGAUGCCAACUAAAAGUGGACAGUAGAUUUCCGAAAUGACUCCCUCCCCAGGAAAAUGAAGCUACUACCUCCUUGACCUCCACCAGUUCUAUGAUGCCAAGACACACCCUGUAGCUGUGACCUGAGAAGAGAAAGGCAGAAUCAGUAAGUAACAGCAACAUGGAAGAAAGUCUGUCACAUAUGGAAUACUUUUUAACUAUUUAAUGCAGAUGAAAUGUAAUUUUUCAUCUCUCCAGCAACUUUGUCGUUUAUCUGAAAAUGACUUUUUUGACCUACUGAUGCUACUUAAUCAUUUCUACUACAGAAAAUCCUACCUAGAAGAGCUGGCAUUAACUUUGGAACAAAAGAGCCCUAAUGCACUCAAGGGUGAAAUCUUUUAUUAUUACUACUCAGUUCUCAAGGAUCCAUGAUGUCCUCAGCAGGUGCAAUCUUGCCCUGGGGCAACACAGCAUCAGGGACGCUUAAGACCUCAGCUGUGACCACACACACGGAGUUACGUUUCUGCAUACCAUAGCUGACUUGCACAGCAAGAUAUAGGUGUCAGACAAGGCCUAAUCACAAUUUAAUUAUGGAAUGAUUUCCCCCAAAAUUAUAUAGAAUGGCCCUUGGCAAUAUAACAUAAAUUGAUC